AGGGCAAGUCUGGUGCCAGCAGCCGCGGUAAUUCCAGCUCCAAUAGCGUAUAUUAAAGUUGUUGCAGUUAAAAAGCUCGUAGUUGAAUUUCGGGGUUCUACCGUUGGUCGGGCUUUGUCUGUACUGGCGUGUAGAAUUUCUACCUUCUGGGGAACCAUUAUGUUAUUAAUUUAGCGUAGUGGGAAACCAGGACCUUUACCUUGAAAAAAUUAGAGUGUUCAAAGCAGGCUUAUGUCUGAAUACAUUAGCAUGGAAUAAUAGAAUAGGACGGUGGUCCUGUUUUGUUGGUUUCUGAAUCACCGUAAUGAUUAAUAGGGAUAGUUGGGGGCAUCAGUAUUCAAUCGUCAGAGGUGAAAUUCUUGGAUUUAUUGAAGACUAACUUCUGCGAAAGCAUUUGCCAAGGAUGUUUUCAUUAAUCAAGAACGAAAGUUAGGGGAUCGAAGACGAUCAGAUACCGUCGUAGUCUUAACCAUAAACUAUGCCGACUAGGGAUCGGACGAUGUUAAUUUUUCUUGACUCGUUCGGCGCCUUACGGGAA
rnacentral:rRNA from 1 species